AUUGAACGCUGGCGGCAGGCCUAACACAUGCAAGUCGAGCGGAUGAAGGGAGCUUGCUCCUGGAUUCAGCGGCGGACGGGUGAGUAAUGCCUAGGAAUCUGCCUGGUAGUGGGGGAUAACGUCCGGAAACGGGCGCUAAUACCGCAUACGUCCUGAGGGAGAAAGUGGGGGAUCGUCGGACCUCACGCUAUCAGAGGAGCCUAGGUCGGAUUAGCUAGUUGGUGGGGUAAAGGCCUACCAAGGCGACGAUCCGUAACUGGUCUGAGAGGAUGAUCAGUCACACUGGAACUGAGACACGGUCCAGACUCCUACGGGAGGCAGCAGUGGGGAAUAUUGGACAAUGGGCGAAAGCCUGAUCCAGCCAUGCCGCGUGUGUGAAGAAGGUCUUCGGAUUGUAAAGCACUUUAAGUUGGGAGGAAGGGCAGUAAGUUAAUACCUUGCUGUUUUGACGUUACCAACAGAAUAAGCACCGGCUAACUUCGUG
rnacentral:rRNA from 1 species